AUCUCUAAAACUUUAUGUACAUGCCAUAUUUCCAAAAGUAACUUUAUAUAAAAUUUACAAAAUAUACCCCAAUAUAGUUAAUGAUGUAACUCUGACUAGGUUGAUGCAGAUCUUGAUCUACUAUUUCUUGGAUCUACUGUUCAUUGGAUCUACAACCUGCGCGAGGAAAAGUACAUUCAUUCGCGCUAAGCAAAUUGCUUAGUGGUGCUCAACUUUUUUUUUAUAUUUAAAAAAAAUAAAUCAUUUAAGUCAAAAUUCAUUUAUCAACAAUAAAUCAAAUAAAUAACAAUAAACUAUACAUCAAAUAAUUUGAAACAAUUCUAAAUCAUAUUAUUAUUUCACAUAUAUACAAAUUUUAAUUUCAUAGUCUUUUUCUUUUUCUUCAUGUAAAAAGUUUUAUCUUCUCUUAAUACUUUUAUUUAUUUAUUAUUUUUCUUUUGCCCCCUAUAAAUUUAAAUGGAUUGUUGGGUCAGAUAAGGUAACUGUAUCUGUAGGGCAUAAAGUGCCAAAUAACUGUAUGGCUCAAAAACCGAGUCUAUAACUGUAAGGUACCUCAUUGUAUCCCAAAAAUCAGUGUAACUGUAGGGCAGUACUGCAAGAUCUAUAUAUGGCAUGCUACACCUUUAAACUAACUCACAAUUCUCACCAAACUUACUAGGGUCAGACUUUAUAACCUUAAAAUAUUCAAAUUAUAAUAUUUUAUCAUAUUAUAACUGUACUUUUAAACAUUGUCAUGUAAAUCUAUUAAUUUAAUUCAAUUAUAUAAAUUACAAAUUCAUAAUUUAAUUCUUAAUUAAUUAAUUAUUAUUAUUUUUAUUAUUAUUAUUAUUAUUUCAAUCUAAUAUUUUUUUCCUAUUUAUUGCCAUAUACCAUAUCUCAUUUUUCUUUUUCUUUUAAUUUUUAUUUCUAUCCAACAACUUUCUUUCAACCAUAAUUUAACUAAUUUAUAACGUUUCACAUGGUAUUCCUUAUUUAGACUAAUAAUUAAUUUUUUUAUUAUUAUUAUUACUAUAUCUUAACCAAAUUAUAUCCCUAUAAAAGAAAGCAGAGAUAUUCCACUUGGUCCAUAACUUGAAUUAUGCUCAAAUUACAUAUUAAUUUCAAAAUUUUCUAUUUAUCAAAUUUAUCAUUUCUUUAAACUUUAAUCAUACUAUAUCACUAAAAUAUUAUUCACUUGAUCUAGUUCUACUAAGGUAGUAAAAUUUUUUAAAUAAAACCUAAUUAACAAAUUAUUGAAUUUAUUCAAAUAAAGUUGAGCACAAACCUUAAACCUUCCAAAAUCUUCCACAAGCUUAAAAUUUCUAUUCUUCCUUUCCUUUCCCUUUGGAGUUUUCACUCCUCGCUUCCACUUCUUCUUCAUAAAAAAAUAAAAAAAUAAAUCAUAUUAAUACAAUAUUCCUCAUAAAUAUUCACAUAAAAAUGAUAAGAAACAUUCCUACAUCAAAACCCCUAACAUACCUUUCAAUUUCCCAACCCAUGUUACUAUUCACUCUUCCUCAACCUUUAAUUUUCUCUUUGAUUUCUCUUCUUUUCUUCAAAUUCUACUUUGGAAAGGUGUUGGGAGAAAGUAGAUAAUUGAUUGGAAGUGAAAAUUUUAAGAAAUUUUGGUGUAAAAAAAAACAUGAAGAAGAAAUGGUUUCCUCUUGGUACACGGGGAAGAAAGGAAAA
rnacentral:lncRNA from 1 species